UGAUGGCAAAGUCAUUGACAGUGGCUGUUUAAUGCCCUUUGGCCUUUCAGACGUCAAGUGUCCUGAAACAAAAUUUCUGGUUACACCCCUGGAUGCUUGUUCUGAUAGCAAUUUUUUUCUGGAAAAUCAAAAUGGUGAACUGAAACUCAAGCGGAAUCACAAGUACUAUACCCAAGUGCAGGGACUGUUGGCAGUUACAGGCGCAAGAUGGUGUGACUUUGUGGUUUACACAAGUAAGGGCAACAAGGGAGCCUUAAAUAAUUCAACCAGUUCUUGAUGUCCUUCUUAAGUGCGAGAAGAUUAAUGAAAAUGAUACAGUAUAUGGGAUAGGACUCCCAUAUGAAACAGAUGGAAUGCUUAUUGAAAAUUUUGAAUAAAAUCCCUGAAGGAGACCAAUCUGGGAGAGGCUUAAGCUUCUGUGAUCAAAAACACCCAAAUCCAAACAAGGCCUUGGCAGGCAUAAAAAAUAGUAUUUUUCCCUGAACGUCCUAGGCAAGGCCCAAAAUCUGAAGUUAAAACCACUAAAUUAACAAUAUGAAAAGCAUCCCUGUCUGUUUCAUAUCGCAGCCCCUUCCCCCCUUCCCUGG